AGGUGGUGAGAGACUGGAGCUGAGCCCCUGGACAAUAAAGUCUGCUUUCGCCUCUCACUACAAAGUCAUCAUCUCUCCAACUAUUUUUUUUUGUUUGUUUAUUCUUCUUGUUGCAGCCUGCAGGCGAUCUCUUAUCCAAAUACAAAACAAAGAGUCUCGUUGCAGAUUAGCCACAAAUCUCCAGCUACCAAAUUAUAUUUGGAUAUUAGAUGUGCUUUGAGAUGGUGAGAAAUGUCUGCCCAAAUAAGAAUAGCUGCCACUACCAAUGAUUGCCGUUUAUAAUCAUGCUGUUUUUAGAGACUGGUGACAUGUUCUCAAGUGGAGCUGCCCCUCCCCUCCGCUCGACUCGACCCCCCUAGAGGUUUGGAUUGCUUGGAGCCUUUUCAGAAAGAGCAAAUAGUUGGCCCAGCUGAGCUUUACUAGCAUGGAACAUCAUUGAAAAUAAACUAAAGCUGCUUUUUGAAGUCAUGCCAUCUUUUUAAAUGGGUGCCAAAUGCUAUUAUCUUUCUCUGGAAAUGUUCAGAAAGCAAAUGAAUCCCAAAAUGGAUGCUGCCAAAGAUUUGAUAAGAUACCUCUGCCUCACGGACUUUGUUUGGAAAGUUGCGUCCUACUUGCUCAGACAGUGAUGUCAUCGUUUCAGUCAAAAUGGAACGAUUCCUCUCUACCUGAUCCACGGGCCACUUGACGUCAAAGAAGUCCCCUUCCCUCCCCCAAGCUGUCCUGCAUUUCCAUAUUUCAUUGGUAUUUCCGCAUGUCUCCCACAGACGCAAAAUAAAGGCCAUCAGAGUAACGGUUAUAAUGUGGAACAAUAAUAACUGGGGGGAACUGAACGAGAGGCUGGAGAGGCUUGUUGACCUUUCCGAGCUAAACUGGUCCCGGCUUGUGUCUGUGCACUGCUGAGCCCAUUGUCUUCUCAGACCUUAUCAUUGUGUUGCAGUUUCCUCUCCCCGCUGGGUGUGCGUGUUGCGAGGGCUUGAAGUGUCCUGUCCUCCUGCUCGACGUUAUGAAGAUGAAUUGAAACCCAAUUGCGAGAUACCAAGCUUCAUGAAGUACGGCUCAUUUCGGACAGACAAUACGCCCACACCGCUGGGAUUCCCCUGCCCCGGCAACAGGGGGAGCUCUUGUGUUCCGAUGGCAGGUACUUGAUGCUGACAUCCUGACAGUGGGUGAGGAGGAUAAACGUUGCUUUUCCGUACGACAACUUGGAUCCGCUGCUGAUCUGCUGAUGUAGGAACGGAUGAGGGAAUGGCCACAACAAACUACCUUUGGUCAUCAAAGCUAUCCUACUAUUGUUCCUCCAUGCACAGGAAGAAAGCUUUGUUGUGUUAUUGUUGGAUGAGGGAGAAUGACUUAGUGUGUGUGUAUUUGUGAAAUAUGCAUAACGUGUUAUGUAGAUUGUAGUAUGCGUGGUGACGGGAAGCCUCGGAUUUCUGUACCUGAGUCAGAGCGGAAGAGAAGCUUGCCGUGCAGGAAAACACCUGGGAGCUGAGCGAGAACAAACAAACCCAGAGGAGGGAAGAGGAAGAAGAAGCAGGCAGGAUGGGGAGGGAGGGAGGCAGGGAGGGGAGAGAAGUAAGGGAGAGCAGCUGCUGUUCAAGCCUUCGCCAGAGUCCAGGAAAAAGGCCGAGGAAGAGAAAGUUCCGGUUUAUACGUCAGUGCGAGCAUCGUUGCGAGUGAUUUGAGUGGAUUUGAACCACAUCUGCUGCAUCACUAAUGGAUAUUCAUUGCUACGAAUAUUGUCAUUUAUUUAUGGGCCUUUUAUGGGUUUUUACAUCAGCCCUUUAGGCAAUAGAUAUUUGAAUGCUAACGGUGGCGCAACACAUGGAGACGGAUUAUAGUGGGGCUUUUUUUGCCAUCUUUGCUUAGUUGCUUAUGUGUAAUGUCCACAUCAAAAGAUAAAAGGCCUCAUUCUCUGAUAUGAAUAAAAUGUCAUUACUCG